UUGGGGAUAUAACUCAAUGGUAGCACACAUGCUUAUCAUGCAUGACAUCCUGGGUUCAAGCCCCAGCACCCAAA
rnacentral:tRNA from 1 species